UAAAGCGUGCGCAGGCGGUUAUGUAAGACAGAUGUGAAAUCCCCGGGCUCAACCUGGGAACUGCAUUUGUGACUGCAUGGCUAGAGUACGGUAGAGGGGGAUGGAAUUCCGCGUGUAGCAGUGAAAUGCGUAGAUAUGCGGAGGAACACCGAUGGCGAAGGCAAUCCCCUGGACCUGUACUGACGCUCAUGCACGAAAGCGUGGGGAGCAAACAGGAUUAGAUCCCGUGU
rnacentral:rRNA from 1 species